GAAAGAUAAUCAGAGGGAGAGAGAAAACACAAAUCAAAGAUGGAUCUGUACUCACUGCACCUUUCCUUUUCGUUCUCUUUCUCUCAAAGGUUUAGAUUUUAGAUCUGGAUCUUGAUCUAUUCACCAUAAGCUAUUGUUCCUGAGGAUCUGGACACCUUCCCUAAGAUGUUGAAGAUGGAUCCCUAGCCGUCGCAUCUGGUGAAGACGGUGGUUUUCCCUAAGAUGGUUGAAGAUGGAGUCCCAAGCCCUAACAAUGUCACAAUCGGAGCUCAUUGAUCAUGCCGAUAUGGACUUUUUAUUGCCUCCUCAAGCUGCUGGAGUUGUCAGACAUAUGAGCGAUAUUCCUCGUUUACAUGUAUUUUCGAGGCAGCGGGAAAACUGCAGUGGUAACUUUCGAGUUGUUUUGGAAGAGUAUUGAAUGAUGCAUUUGUUAUUUUAGGGUCACUGGAUAGCGACGCUUGAAUCUACGGAUUUUUUUACGACAUAACAGGCUUGAUAUUUACAUGUGAAGUCAGGCAAAAUGAUCAAAUGUGUAAAGAAGAAAGUGCCACUCCUGAGACUAACCCUGUCAACAUAGAAGUUAUCGGAGGCUUAACAUCGUACACUGCUGGUUCUCCUGCUUCUAAGCUUGCUGUCAUUUUGAUUUCUGAUAUAUAUGGACGUACAGUGGGACUAAAGAAUUGGGUGAGGAUAACUUUUGCCGCAGAACCAUCUUCACUUGAAGAAGCACUUGAAAGAGUAAAGUCCUUUUCCUAUAGGCAUUCUUAUAAACAAAAUGGUUCAGUUGAUCCAUGAUUGAAGAAGUAGGCACUUUACCCACAUGUAAAAGUUACCUGAUUAACAACUUAACAACUGAAUAUGUUAUCGUUUUUUUAAUAUUUGACAACCGGAAGACAACCAUGCCGUCUUGAAGCCUUUCUGUCGUUACGCCAGGAGAUUCAAAUGAACCAAUUGAAGAAAGGAUUAUAAGAAUGUGGACAUCACAGAUAUAGAACAACGAUUGUUGCUAUCUUUUUGUAGACUUGGCUGGUAUGUGCAGAUCCUUCAGCAACGUUCUGGUUUCAUAGACAUUGACAAUAUCAAUCCAGAUGCUUGGCCUGCACUCAUAGCAGAUUUAUCAAUAGGCGAAAAUGGAAUCGUAAGCCUUGCAUUUGGUGAGUAUAAGUUAUGAUCGGGUCCAUUUGGUUGUGUUUUGUCGCAAACGGUUGUGUUUUAUCGCAAAUGAGAGGUGGUAGAGAUGACCAAGAACAAAAGCAGACACAUGAUCUUCUAAGCAUAUGAAAACAAGAGUGUUUGACCUGAAAGUUGUAUGAAUUGGGGGGUUAGUUUUAAGUUUCUUUUUUACUUUUUAAUGUUGAAGUAUCUAACAAUUAAGGUUGUUUUGGUAUGUAAUAUGUGCAUGGUAUGAUUGGUUUUUUUUGGGAGAUUUAAGGUUAUUGUAACU